rnacentral:rRNA from 1 species
AUGACAGUGAGCCUGCAUUCUCAGUCACAGGAACCUUCGUUCCUGCCACGUUUCGCACGAGCAGAGCAUCAGUCUGCAUUUUCAGAACUAGUCAUCAGAAUCAACCAUUUUCUAAGUGAUUUCAUUUACAAAAUGGGCAAUAAAAAUAAAGAUGAACCGCCAUCCCAACGAACCGUUGUUGCAAUGCAUGUCCAUGGAGUCAGGCAAAGCAGCGCCGACGUGCAGCCCAUCGGCCGUGCAUGCAUGAGCUCGAAGCCAUUUUCAGAAUUAUUGAUCAAUCAGCUGGUGUUCAUUGCAUCCACGAUGACCAUUUCUUCCCGCGACACACGUACUCAAUUCAACUGCUGCUCUGCUAAGGAAAAAUGGUUGUUCUGA